AUUGAACGCUGGCGGCAGGCUUAACACAUGCAAGUCGAGCGGAGAUGAGGUGCUUGCACCUUAUCUUAGCGGCGGACGGGUGAGUAAUGCUUAGGAAUCUGCCUAUUAGUGGGGGACAACAUUCCGAAAGGAAUGCUAAUACCGCAUACGUCCUACGGGAGAAAGCAGGGGAUCUUCGGACCUUGCGCUAAUAGAUGAGCCUAAGUCGGAUUAGCUAGUUGGUGGGGUAAAGGCCUACCAAGGCGACGAUCUGUAGCGGGUCUGAGAGGAUGACCCGCCACACGGGGACUGAGACACGGCCCAGACUCCUACGGGAGGCAGCAGUGGGGAAUAUUGGACAAUGGGGGGAACCCUGAUCCAGCCAUGCCGCGUGUGUGAAGAAGGCCUUAUGGUUGUAAAGCACUUUAAGCGAGGAGGAGGCUACUGAGACUAAUACCCUUGGAUAGUGGACGUUACUCGCAGAAUAAGCACCGGCUAACUCUGUGCCAGCAGCCGCCGCAGUAA
rnacentral:rRNA from 1 species